rnacentral:misc_RNA from 1 species
ACACCUCAACUCUUCAUGGUUUUCUGUGAUGAGCUUGGACUUUGGGGGUUUUGCUGGCCUAUGGUCGGCUCCUCUAAAAUGAAUCAGCUUGCCAGUGUUUGGUGGGCAUCACGGGUGUGAUAACUUAUCUACGCUCGUGGUUUUCCACCAGGUAACCUUCAGCAGUGGAGGUUCGCUGGAGCUCACAGAUGUCUCUCCUCGGUGAGGACGGACCCUUUGAAU